rnacentral:rRNA from 1 species
GACAGAGGGGGCAAGCGUUGCUCGGAAUUACUGGGCGUAAAGGGCGCGUAGGCGGAAUGGCAAGUCGGUCGUGAAAUCCUUCGGCUCAACCGAAGAACGUCGAUCGAAACUGCCGUUCUUGAGGAUUGCAGAGGAGACUGGAAUUCCUGGUGUAGCGGUGAAAUGCGUAGAGAUCCGGAGGAACACCAGUGGCGAAGGCGGCCCCCUGGGCCGCGCCUGACGCUGAGACGCGAAAGCGCGGGGAGCGAACGGG